UGCAGUCGAGCGACAGAGAAGGAGCUUGCUCCUUCGACGUUAGCGGCGGACGGGUGAGUAACACGUGGGCAACCUACCUUAUAGUUUGGGAUAACUCCGGGAAACCGGGGCUAAUACCGAAUAAUCUGUUUCACCUCAUGGUGAAACACUGAAAGACGGUUUCGGCUGUCGCUAUAGGAUGGGCCCGCGGCGCAUUAGCUAGUUGGUGAGGUAACGGCUCACCAAGGCGACGAUGCGUAGCCGACCUGAGAGGGUGAUCGGCCACACUGGGACUGAGACACGGCCCAGACUCCUACGGGAGGCAGCAGUAGGGAAUCUUCCACAAUGGGCGAAAGCCUGAUGGAGCAACGCCGCGUGAGUGAAGAAGGAUUUCGGUUCGUAAAACUCUGUUGUAAGGGAAGAACAAGUACAGUAGUAACUGGCUGUACCUUGACGGUACCUUAUUAGAAAGCCACGGCUAACUACGUGCCAGCAGCCGCGGUAAUACGUAGGUGGCAAGCGUUGUCCGGAAUUAUUGGGCGUAAAGCGCGCGCAGGUGGUUUCUUAAGUCUGAUGUGAAAGCCCACGGCUCAACCGUGGAGGGUCAUUGGAAACUGGGAGACUUGAGUGCAGAAGAGGAUAGUGGAAUUCCAAGUGUAGCGGUGAAAUGCGUAUAGAUUUGGAGGAACACCAGUGGCGAAGGCGACUAUCUGGUCUGUAACUGAC
rnacentral:rRNA from 1 species